CGCUAUGCCAGUCCUUUAGCUCCCAGGGCAGGGGGCAGCUGUGUUGAUCCCAGGGCAGGGAGCCUGCCUGGAUGGAGAGGAUCAGGGAUCCGGGACCAUCGCCAGCUCCAGUGGGCUGUUUGUUCUGAUGUGGCCUCAGACCUGAGAUCAAUGGAGCAUCUGUGAAGACCUUAGCCAAGCCAGUCACCAGGAUAUGGACCCCUACCAGCUGAUGCCCCGAGGGAGCUGGAUUUCCCUGCGUCUGCUUAAGGAAGCUGAGCGAGGAUCCCCCACUUGAGCGCAAAGGACGGAGGGGACGAGACCUGGCUGCUGGAAGGAGUUGGGGUCUCACCUGGGGUCUAGCCAGGCCGAGUCAGAGCCAGAACAUGGGUUCACGGCAGCUUAGUCGGGCUCUGGGCUGAACAGGAGGGUCUGGGCUUUCACUGUUCUCUGCCCCCCUGGGGGUUUCCUGGGCAGUGCUGGGUGACUGAUAAACUGCCAACGCCGUGUGUCGCGAGGGGCGUUAAUCCUGCAGAGGGGCCAGGUCUCACCCGGGGCCUGCACUUGCUGCAGGGAGCGCACGGGGGACAGCAGGCCCCGAGGUGCAGUCUGAGGAGUGAGACCCAGAGGGGCUCUGGCCCACGAAAAGGCUCCUCCUAGAGACUGUUCCGAAGCUGGGUCCAUCGCCCCGCACCGGUCCCUAAACAGCCCCGUCCUGCCGGGUCCUGGUGUCCGUGCUCAUGUCAAUGGGGAGUGAUAGCGCAGGCCGGGGCGAUGCCCCUCAAUCCUGACCCGCAGCCCACUGCUAGCCCAGCCCUUUGAGAGGUGGCUUGGCUAGGCCCGGUGGAGCUGCUGUUCCAGCUCCCGCCGUCCUGCUCUGCUGCUCCUUGGCGGCCCCAGUGUGGGAGGAGCAGCCCCUCAAACUGCUCGCUGGGUCUUUCCUGUAGAGUCGCUCUGCGGCCGCUGCCUCCAGCCGACCCACCGGGGCUGUGCCCGGGAGGUACCUGCAGGGACUGUCCAGCCAGUCAGCCUUUGCCCUGGCCACGGCCGGCGGCCCUUCACCUUCGGCUCCUGCCCUGGUGCGGCCCUUCAGGGCCCUCUGCUUGUUGGCCUGGCUCGGGGGGCCUCUGGCAGGGUCUCCUGGGCAACUGGCUCGGGUUUGGUGCCAGGGCGUGGUCACAGGGAGCUGCUACCCCACCUGCUUGGGAUCACAGCCCAGUGCUGCCCCUGCCUCAGGACCCUGCUCCCAGGAGAGUCCCCUACCCUGAGCUGGCUGCAUGGGGCCUGCUCCCAGGUGAAUGGGAAGUCUGGCCUGGUCUCCAGCCAGAAGUGCCAGCGGGGCUCCCCUCUGAGCUGGCAGCAGGGGUGGGAGCCUGGGGCGAUCCGUGGGUCUGAGUGGAUCGUGUCCCCUUGCCGGGAGCUUCCCAAGCCUGGCCUAGAGAAAGGGGUGGGGAAUAUGGCGGCAGUGCCCAGGCCAGGAGCGGCCGCGUGGGCAUGCUGGGCUCUGCAGGGCAUUGCUCACCUUGGUUCCAGAUGGGGCAUUACCUCUCGUGGGGCACCCUGUGCGCUGGGACCAGCUGAGGGUGGACGCCAGGAAUCCUGGCUCCCUGCCCCAAGCCCCGUGGCUGCAGCAGGGCCUUUCCUGGAGUGACAAGGCUGCCCCCAACCUGGCCUCAGAGCUUGGGGCAGGGACCCUCCCCUCUGCCUGGCAGCACCCUGCCUGGCAGCACCCUGCACUGGCUCACUGCACGGGUGGAACAAGAUGCCCUCUGGGGGCCAGGCUGCCCAAGGGAGUUAGGGGCCUAAAGGCACAGACAGGCAGCAAGGGUGAUUUUUCGAAUGUGCCUGGCAUUCUCUGUAUCUUGGGGGUCUAAUUCCCUUGGACAAUCCAGCUGGGACUUUCAGGCUCUUUCUGUCUCCAGAAUAACACAGCACUCUGCUCUCUCCAUCCCACCUCUGUGCACCCCACCCCCCCUGCUAGGCUUUGCAUCUCCCCACAAUCCCCACCUGACCAGGAGGAAGGGUGGAAGCUGCAGGGAGCUAGUCCGGGCAGGGCCAGCCUGGGGUGGGGCAGGGGGUUGGGACCAUUGCCUUUGCUCCUGUGGGAUCAGCCCGGGAAGGGGCCUCUUGCCCUGGGGUUGCAGGACCUGUGAUGGAGGUUGUGGGGAGCUGGGUUGGCAGCUGGCACGUGACAAGAGGGUCUGGGUGCAGGGAUCUGCCGGCCCCAGAACAGGAUUAACUCCGGCCCUGCCCUCCAGAGGGGACUGGGGGCAGAGAGAUGUGAGCAGCUUGACCAGCCUGUGCUCGUGUGACGAACUGGGACAGUUCUUAAUGAGGUCUUUGAAUGCUGGGUGGGGAUUGGGGGGAGAUGCAAAGCCUAGUGGGGGUGGGGGGGGCGCACAGGGGGUGGGAUGGAGAGAGCGGAGUGCUGUUUUAUUCUGGCUGGGCCUGUCUGCAUUGGGGGAUGGGAGACUGGCCUUGAGGGAAGAUACCUGAGCAUGUAACGUGAGAACCCAGGAAGGGGGUUGGAGCCAGGUGACACCUCUGCCCUGGAAACUGGACAAAGGCUGGGGAGGAGGAGGGGUGAGAGAGGCUGGAGGGAGUUGAGGUUGGUCAGGAGCUGGCUGGUAAUGGAGGAGAGCCCAGAUGGGGCUCUGACCCCCCCCCAACGGGGCUGGGGUGCUCUGGGACCCCAAGAUGGACCUAAGUGAGGGGGUCCAGUUGUCUGUGCCUGCAAGACCUGUCUUGGACUGUGUUCCUGUCGUCUAAAUAAACCUUCUGCUUUA